UAGUGACAAAGAAAGAGAAGAAAGUAUUAAAGAAAUGUGAACAAAAGAUUUGGUAAUUACAGCCGAGCCGCGAGUGUUUUAUGUGCACUUGCAUAAUUAACUCUGUACUGUGUAUGCAUCAGUCGGCAUUUCUACUGAGUCUAAGAUGUUUGCUUACGUAAAAGUGUUAACAGGCGCCCACAAGGAACAAAAAAAAUCUGUGAAUACAGAUAAAUUAUUAAACUUUCACAAAGAUUCACAUCAAAGUAAUAAAAAAUAUUCCAUGAAAUGCGAUGGUAAAGAUGAGGAGGUAGUUAUAUUAUUAUUAGCAGAAACCAAAAAGCAAUUAGAGUAUUCAAAAGAAUGAUCAAAAAACAAGAGUUAAAAGUACACCAAAAAAGUUUUUGGUAACAGCGUCAUCAGGUGAGAGCGAGCCUGCUGGGAGAAAAAAGCAUGCACUACGUAAGACAUUAACUAAAGUGAUGGAUCCACAAGCACUAUCCACAAGUAUAUUAGAUCAUCUGACAUUGAAAAAUGAUGUAAGAGCCAAGAUUGCCAAAUUCAAAAACAGUGCAUCAGCCAGUCAAUCUAUGAAGUUGGAUAACACGAAAACAAUAUUACAACCUAAUAAUAAUGACACUUUUGACGAUGUAAAUGAAAAUAAUAUGAACACCAGAUAGCAUUUGUCACAUAAUAGAACUAACAUCCAAGAAGCCCCGAACAAAGGAAACAAUGACAUUAUUACCACAUCAGUAUCAGGGAAAGAAAAUGUCAAUAGUACAUACACUACCACACCAGUAUCGUCCAAUAGUUCUACGAAACCAGGAAUUGUCGAUACUGCUAGCACAUCAGCAUCAAAAAAGCAAAGUGGCAAGCCUACCAAACCAUCAUCCGUAAAAGAAACUUUAGUUAAAAUUAAACAUAUCGAAGACGUACAUUCAAGCAAAGAAUGCUCAGAAAACUUGAAAAUUAUUCAGGAAUUAAAAGAAAGGAACACAAAGUUAACUAUAGAAGUAGAAAAGCUUUCAAACGAAAUUGCAACAGUUCAAAAGCAAAAAGAUAUUUACAAGAAAAAAUACGCACAACAGGCAGCUGAAUGCCAAAAAUUGACAACUCUAAAUCAACAAAUACAAAUGACAAUGAUUGAAAACGCAAAGGAAAAAAAUAGAUGUUUGACAGACUCCUUGCUGCCCAAAAAAACGUUAGCUUGGAACUUAAUUUUCCUGCUAUUGGUUACUUAAAGACAACGAAUGAUAUCCCAAUGGUAGAGGAAGAUAAAAUCAUUCAUUUUAUAGCUGACAAUGUCGAUUAUGAUGUACGUACUAUUGAUGGGAACGGCACUUUUUAUGGCAUGAGAAUAGUUUCUGCCGUUACACGGAAUCUUAAAAAAAAAUAUUUGACGUGCCACGAAAAAAAGUUGAUACAAAUGCAUUGAAAGCAAUUGAAUCUAUUCAGUUUUGUCAUUUUAAUGAAAAAACAUCGAAAGGCUUUUUAUUUUCAGAUUCACCCAGAAUUUUAGAAAGUAAUGAAUAUAGUAUUGAUAUGCUAUGGUAUUUAUCAUGAUUUUUCAAUAAAUCUCAAACUGGUUGGUCGGCAUAUAUGCAAACUCUACAUAAAGAAAAUAGUUCUAAAAAAGCAGCCAUAUUUUUUUAUCUUAUGAUUAAUCAAAAGCCAAGCGAUUUGUCAUGUGCAUAUUCCAUACUUAUAUUUGUUUGCGAAGAGCUAAAAAGUAGAAUGUAAAGCCAGUUAUUACGAGGAGCAAGAAUAUAGUAUUUUAAAAACUAUUUAUUUAUUUAUUCAAAUCAGAUAGAUUUACAUAGUAUUUGAAACACUAACCGUAACCCCGCAGAGAUAAACAUAGUUAUCUGUUCGCAGGUAUGGGCUCACAUAACAGAAAACUAUACCGUAGAAUACUUAAUUACUAAAAUUUAAAACU